CUCAAGUAGCAGACUACUUACGAAUUUGUAAGUCAUUUUAUCGGUCGUGUAAUACGAGCACGAUCAUCACGUAAGGAUGCACCCUGUCAAUUUGCGAGCACAACACAAGUCCCAUGAAAGGGGUUAAUAAUAGUGAUCUUUUCAGGGCCGUGUUGCCGUGGACAAAUUAUCUGACCAGUUCAUUACACAUGCGACAUAUGCUGUUCCUUAAAGUAACCUAAAGUUCGAGCUGCUCGGAGUCAGUUGGCAUUUGAGUUAAAGAUCCUUCUUGGAAUCGAAAAAAAAAAAUAAUUUUCUUCACGAUCGGUGAAGCGUCUCCUCGAAAGGUCGCUGUGUCCGGUUCUUCGUCUUUAAUCAAUAAUAAAAGGGUUGACGUACGGAAGCUGAACAGGAAAUUGCAUCCUGGAAAGGAAUUGGCAUAAGUAUCCGAGUGGCUACACUUGGAAACGGUCUUUAACAAUUUCCGAUCGUUUCUCCAUGCUUGUAACCUCUUUCUCCUAACCUCUUCCUUUUCCUUAGCACGUAAAACAGUGUCGCUCGAAUACGAAUGAAACGUGAGCUUGACAAAUCCGUGGAAUUUGCCUGUCUCUCUAACCACCAGGUUCAAAUGACUAACGAAAAAAAAAAAAAGAACUAGAAAAAGAAACCAGAAGAUGAUAUUUGAGGAUAUCUCGAUUCUCGGAUUUUCAAGAAUAACGA